GCUUCUUUUUCCCCGGAGCUUGCUCCACCGGAAAAAGAAGAGUGGCGAACGGGUGAGUAACACGUGGGUAACCUGCCCAUCAGAAGGGGAUAACACUUGGAAACAGGUGCUAAUACCGUAUAACAAUCGAAACCGCAUGGUUUUGAUUUGAAAGGCGCUUUCGGGUGUCGCUGAUGGAUGGACCCGCGGUGCAUUAGCUAGUUGGUGAGGUAACGGCUCACCAAGGCCACGAUGCAUAGCCGACCUGAGAGGGUGAUCGGCCACAUUGGGACUGAGACACGGCCCAAACUCCUACGGGAGGCAGCAGUAGGGAAUCUUCGGCAAUGGACGAAAGUCUGACCGAGCAACGCCGCGUGAGUGAAGAAGGUUUUCGGAUCGUAAAACUCUGUUGUUAGAGAAGAACAAGGAUGAGAGUAACUGUUCAUCCCUUGACGGUAUCUAACCAGAAAGCCACGGCUAACUACGUGCCAGCAGCCGCGGUAAUACGUAGGUGGCAAGCGUUGUCCGGAUUUAUUGGGCGUAAAGCGAGCGCAGGCGGUUUCUUAAGUCUGAUGUGAAAGCCCCCGGCUCAACCGGGGAGGGUCAUUGGAAACUGGGAGACUUGAGUGCAGAAGAGGAGAGUGGAAUUCCAUGUGUAGCGGUGAAAUGCGUAGAUAUAUGGAGGAACACCAGUGGCGAAGGCGGCUCUCUGGUCUGUAACUGACGCUGAGGCUCGAAAGCGUGGGGAGCAAACAGGAUUAGAUACCCUGGUAGUCCACGCCGUAAACGAUGAGUGCUAAGUGUUGGAGGGUUUCCGCCCUUCAGUGCUGCAGCUAACGCAUUAAGCACUCCGCCUGGGGAGUACGACCGCAAGGUUGAAACUCAAAGGAAUUGACGGGGGCCCGCACAAGCGGUGGAGCAUGUGGUUUAAUUCGAAGCAACGCGAAGAACCUUACCAGGUCUUGACAUCCUUUGACCACUCUAGAGAUAGAGCUUCCCCUUCGGGGGCAAAGUGACAGGUGGUGCAUGGUUGUCGUCAGCUCGUGUCGUGAGAUGUUGGGUUAAGUCCCGCAACGAGCGCAACCCUUAUUGUUAGUUGCCAUCAUUCAGUUGGGCACUCUAGCAAGACUGCCGGUGACAAACCGGAGGAAGGUGGGGAUGACGUCAAAUCAUCAUGCCCCUUAUGACCUGGGCUACACACGUGCUACAAUGGGAAGUACAACGAGUCGCGAAGUCGCGAGGCUAAGCUAAUCUCUUAAAGCUUCUCUCAGUUCGGAUUGUAGGCUGCAACUCGCCUACAUGAAGCCGGAAUCGCUAGUAAUCGCGGAUCAGCACGCCGCGGUGAAUACGUUCCCGGGCCUUGUACACACCGCCCGUCACACCACGAGAGUUUGUAACACCCGAAGUCGGUGAGGUAACCUUUGAGCC
rnacentral:rRNA from 1 species